UCACUGCCAGGAUGGGCUCAGGCCGGCACCUGGACGUCGUUAGCCGGAAAGUGCGACGAAGACGAAAACACCGGCAGCC
rnacentral:sRNA from 12 species